GAUGUCAAAGGAUGAAGCAUUCAUGCACCACACAGAAUCAAUGCUGUGUUGAUUAUGAAUUUCUGAAGACUU